AGAGGGAGGGGAGAGGGAACAGGAGGCAGGGCUUUAAAACAAAUAAACAAAACAGUCCAGUUAUUCAAAGGUGCCCCUUGAAACGACUGCCACAUCGUCCAUUUGGCCAACACGGAAGGUGCAGCCACCAUCCUAGAAAUCUCAAGCAGCCUCUCCGAGUUCCGUGGGAGCGAUGGCUGUGAAAACGGUCUGCAAAGAGUUUUCUGCAGGACUGAGAGACUGAGGCUGUGUGAGCCCUAACACCUGCUGAUUGGGUUACUACAAGAUUUUGGAUAUAGUUCCCUGUGCUGUACAGAAGAAAUCUGUUGUAUACCUAUUUUACAUAUAGUAGUUAGUAUUUAUUUUCAAGAACUUCUAUAAUAACCCAUAUUGUUAUCUUUAGAACCAGAGGGGUGGUUUUAUUUUAGCCAUGGUUGAAAGAGUUUUGGAGUCAAGCUCCAGUUCUUAGAAGCUGUGUGACUUGGAGCGAGAGGGGCCAUAAACCUCUGAAUCCAGUCUUCUCAUCUGUAAAAUGGGAUAACACCAUUUACCUCUGAGGUUUGUUACUAUGACUAAAUGGGAUAACAGGUGUAGAAGUGCCUUAAAAAUUGGAAGAUGCAGAUCAACUAGUAAUUACUGCCAUCCUCUCAUCUCUGAGAAUUACUUUCAUUUCUUCACCCAGUGAUUUCCAAGCAAGACAUCAUCACACAUUCAUGCUAGUAAGAGCUUGAAGCUAGCACAUGACUUAUUAAAAAGAAAAAGGAGUGCCUAGUAGGUAGUGAGUACUCAAUAAAUACACGCAGAAUGAGUAAGUGCCAAGCUGUCCUCCAUGCGUUGUACCAGGAGAAACAGACAGAGGGCCAGUAGCUUGCUCGCACGCCGCAAUCCCGCAAAUCUUUGAAACUGUUGAUCAUACGCUGUGUACUGAUUAUGAACCCAGCAGACUCCUCCAUCUAAUGGCACAAUUGAGGACAUUUGAGAUGUACAUCCCAAGAAGCUAACCACCUAAGUAGGGAGAGAAAAGGCUGGCUGACCCCUGGUCUGGGCUGAGACACAGAGGCCUGAACACACCGCAGCAUCUGCUGAGGAUCAGGUAGCAAAACAGCAUUGCUGAAUUUGCCAGGGAUGUUCUGGGGUCUGGACCAGCUGACAGCCAGUCCUGGAGGGGCCUGGUGAUGACCCUGCAGCCAGGACUGCAACAGAGAGAGUGGACAGCAGUGGCUCUGACAUCCCGUGCGGGGCGGAAGAGGCCUAGAGGGCUGUGAAGACGAGCCGCACCCUCCGCUGGCACCCACCCACACCCCAGGUAGCUUCGGCUCUUUCACACAUUUGGAUGCCAUCCACUGAGCUUGCGGGUGUUGGAGCAGGAAGAGCUGGCUUCUACAAGAACAGCAAGGGCUGUCAGGGAAUAAAAGACAUUAGUCAGCCUUCAGCUUUGUUCUUUCCUCUCUCGUUCAUUCAUUUUAAACACCUUGAAUGAACAUACUCCCUCAGUCUCCAAUUCAGCUCCCAUGUUCCUGAAUUUAGCUCCCGGCCUCCUGUCUCUCCGUGAGAACUGUGCUCAAAAUUAACAAUUU